AACCAUAGAAACCUGCGGAGUACCUGCGGAGGAUCAUUAUAGUAUAUGGAAUCUCCAUUCUAUAAACCCACUCUGCGUAUCUUGUAACUGUUGCUUCCAUGGGACUUGGUUCCGCCACACCGGCUUCACGGCUGGUGAGCGCCCAUGGAAGGAGAAACAAAACUCUUCUUUGAAAUGUAGUCAGUCUGAACAAGUUUUUAUAAACGUUAAAACUUUUAACAAUGGAUCUCAGAUCGGAAG
rnacentral:misc_RNA from 1 species